AUGUCGCAGGGAGAAUGUACAAAAUCCAUACAGACAGCACCCGUAGUCAGGAUUGAACAUGGGUCAAUCACCAGAGACCCAUGUCUGAUCCUGAUGCCGACCUCGGGUCCUGUAUACAUGGAUGUUGCAUGUUCUCCCUGUGAUUGCGUUGGUUUUCUCUGGGUGCUCCUGUUAUCUCCCACAUUCCAAAGGCCUGCAGGUUUGUAGGUCAAUUGGCUUCUGUUAAUUGUCCCUAGUGUGUAAGAUAGAAUUAGUGUAUGGGAGAUUGCUGGUCAGCAUGGACUCGGUUGGCCGGUGGGCCUAUUUCCACGUUGUAUCUUUCAAUCAAAAAUAUAUCUUACCCUGUCCUCUCACUUCCAAGGAUAUAUGGGUUUGAGUUUGUUUUCAUCUGGCCCCACUAAACACCCGAUAAAUUAGCAAGACCACCUUGUUCUAUCUUUAACAAAUUCUUCUCCUGAAUUUAGUGCUGCUGAACUUUGGGUACAAGGUACUACAUCCAUGCUGUAACUUUGUGGUUAGUGUAUGUGACCAAUGGAAAACAUUCCACUCAUUAUUUUACCAGAUUUUGUGGCUUUUUAAAAAAAUUCUUUGGUGUUAGAUUUUCUAAAUUACCACCAGAUGGAGUCUAGCUUUCGGGGUGGCAUAGCGAUGGAGUUGCUGCCUCACAGCGCCAGAGACCCGGGUU